AGAGGAAGUAAAAGUCGUAACAAGGUUUCCGUAGGUGAACCUGCGGAAGGAUCAUUACCUAGAGUUGUAGGCUUUGCCUGCUAUCUCUUACCCAUGUCUUUUGAGUACCUUCGUUUCCUCGGCGGGUUCGCCCGCCGAUUGGACAAUUUAAACCAUUUGCAGUUGCAAUCAGCGUCUGAAAAAACAUAAUAGUUACAACUUUCAACAACGGAUCUCUUGGUUCUGGCAUCGAUGAAGAACGCAGCGAAAUGCGAUAAGUAGUGUGAAUUGCAGAAUUCAGUGAAUCAUCGAAUCUUUGAACGCACAUUGCGCCCCUUGGUAUUCCAUGGGGCAUGCCUGUUCGAGCGUCAUUUGUACCUUCAAGCCUUGCUUGGUGUUGGGUGUUUGUCUCGCCUCCGCGUGUAGACUCGCCUCAAAACAAUUGGCAGCCGGCGUAUUGAUUUCGGAGCGCAGUACAUCUCGCGCUUUGCAUUCAGAACGACGACGUCCAAAAGUACAUUUUUACACUCUGACCUC
rnacentral:rRNA from 1 species